rnacentral:rRNA from 1 species
CCUACGGGAGGCAGCAGUAGGGAAUCUUCCACAAUGGACGAAAGUCUGAUGGAGCAACGCCGCGUGAGUGAAGAAGGGUUUCGGCUCGUAAAGCUCUGUUGGUAGUGAAGAAAGAUAGAGGUAGUAACUGGCCUUUAUUUGACGGUAAUUACAUAGAAAGUCAAGUCUAACUACGUGCCAGCAGCCGCGGUAAUACGUAGGUGGCAAGCGUUGUCCGGCUUUAUUGGGCGUAAAGCGAGUGCAGGCGGUUCAGUAAGUCUGAUGUGAAAGCCUUCGGCUCAACCGGAGAAUUGCAUCUGAAACUGGUGAACUUGAGUGCAGAAGAGGAAAGUGGAAUUCCAUGUGUAGCGGUGAAAUGCGUAGAUAUAUGGAAGAACACCAGUGGCGAAGGCGGCUCUCUG